rfam:Parastrongyloides trichosuri strain KNP genome assembly, scaffold: PTRK_scaffold0000033
AUAGAUACGGCGAUAUGUCACCUCAAACGUCAAUGGGUAGACUAGUAGGAAGUUUAUGUGCUAUAAUGGGUGUCCUUACAAUUGCAUUACCUGUACCUGUUAUUGUUUCCAAU